GACGAACGCUGGCGGCGUGCUUAACACAUGCAAGUCGAACGGAAAGGCCCUGCUUUUGUGGGGUGCUCGAGUGGCGAACGGGUGAGUAACACGUGAGUAACCUGCCCUUGACUUUGGGAUAACUUCAGGAAACUGGGGCUAAUACCGGAUAGGAGCUCCUGCUGCAUGGUGGGGGUUGGAAAGUUUCGGCGGUUGGGGAUGGACUCGCGGCUUAUCAGCUUGUUGGUGGGGUAGUGGCUUACCAAGGCUUUGACGGGUAGCCGGCAUGAGGGGGUGACCGGGCAGAGUGGGCGAGCGGGGCGGACCGGGGGGCAACGGGAGCCAGCAGCGCGGAGUGUUGCAUACCGGGCGGCAGGUUGAUGCACCCUUGCCGCGUGGGGGAGGGGGGCUUGCCGGUUGUGAAAAGAUAACCACUGUGAAGAUGCGUGCGUGACGCCAAGGGAUAAAUAAGAAGAGGCCACGUUCGUG
rnacentral:rRNA from 1 species